rnacentral:rRNA from 1 species
CCUACGGGUGACAGCAGUGGGGAAUAUUGGACAAUGGCGGAAACCCUGAUCCAGCGAAGCCGCGUGAGUGAUGAAGGAUUUCGGUACGUAAAGCCCUAUCAGCAGGAGAGAAAAUGACGGUACCUGACUCAGCAGCCCCGGCUAACUACGUGCCAGCAGCCGCGGUAAUACGUCGGGUGCGAGCGUUAAUCGGAAUUACUGGGCGUAAAGCGCUCGUAGGCGGUAUGUCAAGUCAAGGGUGAAAUCCCCGCGCUCAACGUGGGAACUGCCGUUGAAACUGGUAAACUGGAGUGUGUGAGAGGUUAGUGGAAUGCCAGGUGUAGGAGUGAAAUCCGUAGAUAUCUCGAAGAACAUCAGUGGCGAAGGCGACGAACUGGCGCAUAACUGACGCUGAGGAGCGAAAGCGUGGGUAGCGAACAGGAUUAGAUACCCGUGUAGUC